GAGUUUGAUCUUGGCUCAGGAUGAACGCUGGCGGCGUGCUUAACACAUGCAAGUCGAGCGAUGAAGUUUCCUUCGGGAAAUGGAUUAGCGGCGGACGGGUGAGUAACACGUGGGUAACCUGCCUCAUAGAGUGGAAUAGCCUUCCGAAAGGAAGAUUAAUACCGCAUAAUGUUGAAAGAUGGCAUCAUCAUUUAACCAAAGGAGCAAUCCGCUAUGAGAUGGACCCGCGGCGCAUUAGCUAGUUGGUGGGUAACGGCCUACCAAGGCGACGAUGCGUAGCCAACCUGAGAGGGUGAUCGGCCACAUUGGGACUGAGACACGGCCCAGACUCCUACGGGAGCAGCAGUGGGGAAUAUUGCACAAUGGGGGAAACCCUGAUGCAGCAACGCCGCGUGAGUGAUGAAGGUUUUC
rnacentral:rRNA from 1 species